GAGCCUUGGAUUCUUGGAAUGGAACAGAAUAUUGGGAUUAUUCUGGGCUGAACCCAAGUGUGGGCAGCAGGAAAGGGAUUGGGGUUGUGCCCCUGUGCCCCUGAGCACUGUGAGCGACGGCCCCAAGAGAACCAUCAGGGUCAAAGCUGGGAUUUCUGGAGAGCUUCAGCCACGUCAGAUGAGGAAACCAGGAGCUGGUCCCAGGCUUUUGAGGGAGAAACUGUUGCAAGAAGAUUCCCUGUGAAGAGAAAAAAGUGUCCAGUUGAAAGCAUUCCAGAUCUCCCAAGCUUCCUGCCUCCUUGGAAAAACUUGGGAGAGGGAAAAUGGAGGCUCCUGAGUCGGAUCUUCUUUCCUGAGGGGAGGUGUCUUAUCCCACAUGGUUUUAGGAAUAAAUGGAGAUACCAGCAGCACUUCCCAACCCUCUGGAGAUUCCUUUAUUCUGCCUGGAUGUGAACUGGGGGAGCGAGGCCUCUCCGACCGUUUUCCA